UUACUGAUCUGAGUAUAUUUAUCUAACAACUUUUAACCUCUGAUUAUAAAACAAUUUUAUAUAUUUUACAGCAAACCAUUACCCCCAUUCUAGUAUAG
rnacentral:rRNA from 1 species